rnacentral:rRNA from 1 species
AUUGAACGCUGGCGGCAUGCCUAACACAUGCAAGUCGAACGGGGGUAGCGAUACCCUAGUGGCGGACGGGUGAGGAACGCGUAGGAAUCGGCCCACGAGUGGGGGACAACCUGGGGGAAACUCAGGCUAAUACCGCAUGAGCUCGGGAGAGGAAAGCGGGGGAUCUUCGGACCUCGCGCUGGUGGACGAGCCUACGUCCGAUUAGCUGGUUGGUGAGGUAAAGGCUCACCAAGGCGACGAUCGGUAGCGGGUCUGAGAGGACGACCCGCCACACUGGGACUGAGACACGGCCCAGACUCCUACGGGAGGCAGCAGUGGGGAAUUUUGGACAAUGGGCGCAAGCCUGAUCCAGCCAUGCCGCGUGAGUGAAGAAGGCCUCGG